rnacentral:rRNA from 1 species
GAUGAACGCUGGCGGCGUGCCUAAUACAUGCAAGUCGAGCGAACGGACGAGAAGCUUGCUUCUCUGAUGUUAGCGGCGGACGGGUGAGUAACACGUGGAUAACCUACCUAUAAGACUGGGAUAACUUCGGGAAACCGGAGCUAAUACCGGAUAAUAUUUUGAACCGCAUGGUUCAAAAGUGAAAGACGGUCUUGCUGUCACUUAUAGAUGGAUCCGCGCUGCAUUAGCUAGUUGGUAAGGUAACGGCUUACCAAGGCAACGAUGCAUAGCCGACCUGAGAGGGUGAUCGGCCACACUGGAACUGAGACACGGUCCAGACUCCUACGGGAGGCAGCAGUAGGGAAUCUUCCGCAAUGGGCGAAAGCCUGACGGAGCAACGCCGCGUGAGUGAUGAAGGUCUUCGGAUCGUAAAACUCUGUUAUUAGGGAAGAACAUAUGUGUAAGUAACUGUGCACAUCUUGACGGUACCUAAUCAGAAAGCCACGGCUAACUACGUGCCAGCAGCCGCGGUAAUACGUAGGUGGCAAGCGUUAUCCGGAAUUAUUGGGCGUAAAGCGCGCGUAGGCGGUUUUUUAAGUCUGAUGUGAAAGCCCACGGCUCAACCGUGGAGGGUCAUUGGAAACUGGAAAACUUGAGUGCAGAAGAGGAAAGUGGAAUUCCAUGUGUAGCGGUGAAAUGCUCAGAGAUAUGGAGGAACACCAGUGGCGAAGGCGACUUUCUGGUCUGUAACUGACGCUGAUGUGCGAAAGCGUGGGGAUCAAACAGGAUUAGAUACCCUGGUAGUCCACGCCGUAAACGAUGAGUGCUAAGUGUUAGGGGGUUUCCGCCCCUUAGUGCUGCAGCUAACGCAUUAAGCACUCCGCCUGGGGAGUACGACCGCAAGGUUGAAACUCAAAGGAAUUGACGGGGACCCGCACAAGCGGUGGAGCAUGUGGUUUAAUUCGAAGCAACGCGAAGAACCUUACCAAAUCUUGACAUCCUUUGACAACUCUAGAGAUAGAGCCUUCCCCUUCGGGGGACAAAGUGACAGGUGGUGCAUGGUUGUCGUCAGCUCGUGUCGUGAGAUGUCGGGUUAAGUCCCGCAACGAGCGCAACCCUUAAGCUUAGUUGCCAUCAUUAAGUUGGGCACUCUAAGUUGACUGCCGGUGACAAACCGGAGGAAGGUGGGGAUGACGUCAAAUCAUCAUGCCCCUUAUGAUUUGGGCUACACACGUGCUACAAUGGACAAUACAAAGGGCAGCGAAACCGCGAGGUCAAGCAAAUCCCAUAAAGUUGUUCUCAGUUCGGAUUGUAGUCUGCAACUCGACUACAUGAAGCUGGAAUCGCUAGUAAUCGUAGAUCAGCAUGCUACGGUGAAUACGUUCCCGGGUCU